CAGCGGGAGGCGCGGAAAUGCUAGCCGAGCCUGCGGGCGUGAAUACCCCCGGGGCCUGGCACCCUCAAAAAACGACACCCCACCCCACCCCCACCCCCUCCUCAAUCCCUGCCUCCAUUGCCCAGGGACCCCACGGGCUAACCCUCUUCCUCUUCCUUCGUCCGCCCCACCUCAUUACCUACGUGGCCGACCCAAACUCACAGCAUUUUGUGUAUAUAAUUGCUGGGGUUUUUUGUGUUUUUUGUUUUUUUUUAGUUUGGGGUUUUCGGUGUUUUGUUUUGUUUUGUUUUGUUCCCUUUCUGCUGCAUGUCUUUUUGCCAAAAUUCGGGGUGGGGGGCUCGGCCUCUCCAGACCCCCAUAUGCGGACUGGCCAUAUGGAGGAGGCACUUAAGGACUGAGAAGGAAAUUAGCGCAGCCCAUACCUGUAGGGAGUGCCGAAUUCUUAAACGCCCAGGACUCAAGGUAUGGGAAUACUGCACACACGUACACACACACACACAAACACGGUAAGGGAUACAGAGCCAGACCUGAGAGGACCGGAAGACAUUGCCUUUCAUUCAUUCAUUCUGCCUGCUUCUGUGGAGUUCUUUACUAGGCAACGAGCUUUGGAGCCGAAGAUGAACAUUUCUUAAAGGUCCCUGCGCUCGCCAAGAAGAGGAAAUAGAUGCUCAGGAGAGAAACAACGAGAGAAUCGCAUCUGGCGCCUCCUAACGCAGCCGGCACACAGUAAAGGCCUCAAGGACAGAAUGAAUUACAUCAAGUCUGAGUGUCAGCCAUUGGCCAUUUUGGAAGAUUGAAGUUUAGAAUCUAGAGUUCUGCAUCUUAUGGCUCUUUUCCUGAGUGGGGAUUGGAGGGAUCUCUGGAAAUAACAGAUGGAGUCAGUGGCUUCUUGGCCCUUCUUGAAAUGACAUUCAUCAAUUCACCAGUUGUUUAUUGAGCAUCUCCUUCAUUCAUACCCAGAGCCAUCUUUAUAGGAAACCCUCCUCUUCACCCCACAGAGAGCACACCCUUUACCCCAGGAGACUGGGAUGUUCUGAAAUGAGGCUGUUCUGCUCUGAAGAGAAACCUUCUCUGAGCGAGAGCAGGUGAAUUUGCCCAGCUUCCCCUUGCACAAAAGUUUUUCUCAUUUGACACAUUUCUCAUAAUGAUAAUAAAAUACUCAUGUGUGUAAAAGUUUAACAUAUGUCUCUUAUUUGAAGUCUCCAAGGAGACAGACCUCAUCUGUCUUGUUCAUUGCUCUAUCUUCAGCCCCCAGGGGCUGGCUCAUAAAAUGUACUCAACAAAGCUUUGUUGAAUGAGUGAAUGA